GACGAACGCUGGCGGCGUGCCUAAUACAUGCAAGUCGAACGCUGAAGGAGGAGCUUGCUUCUCUGGAUGAGUUGCGAACGGGUGAGUAACGCGUAGGUAACCUGCCUGGUAGCGGGGGAUAACUAUUGGAAACGAUAGCUAAUACCGCAUAAGAGUAGAUGUUGCAUGACAUUUACUUAAAAGGUGCAAUUGCAUCACUACCAGAUGGACCUGCGUUGUAUUAGCUAGUUGGUGAGGUAACGGCUCACCAAGGCAACGAUACAUAGCCGACCUGAGAGGGUGAUCGGCCACACUGGGAGUGAGACACGGCCCAGACUCCUACGGGAGGCAGCAGUAGGGAAUCUUCGGCAAUGGACGGAAGUCUGACCGAGCAACGCCGCGUGAGUGAAGAAGGUUUUCGGAUCGUAAAGCUCUGUUGUAAGAGAAGAACGAGUGUGAGAGUGGAAAGUUCACACUGUGACGGUAUCUUACCAGAAAGGGACGGCUAACUACGUG
rnacentral:rRNA from 1 species